ensembl:lncRNA LINC00944 long intergenic non-protein coding RNA 944
GAUGCCAUCAGGUGUGGUAUGUGAUCACAGGCAACUCAGGAACAGCUCUCCAGCCCCAGGACUUCUGCUGGAACCGCUGGGAGUUGGAAGCUUUCUUCCCACUGAGGGGCAAACCUUCUAGGUAUCUGAAGAUGUUGAAGACCAUUUCCUGGAACAGCAGAGGUAAAUGCCCAGAGGAUGAGAACACAUAGCCAUUAGGAGAGCCUGAAAGUUCAGUGUGACUGAAAGAUGAAGUUCAAGAGAAGGGACAAACUGCAAAACACAAGCUGGAGAGUUUUAGAGAGACUGUGGAAUGGAAUGACUCUCCAGAGCUGCAGAUUGAAGGCAUAUUUUCAUCUGACUUUGGUGAUUAUGUUUCCAAUCUCUCUGGGAAUAAGAUCUCAAUGGCGGGAACACCUUCAUGGCCCCUUUAUAGCUGGUAUGUUUUCUUCUUAUGGACAAUGAGAAACAUGUAAUAAACUGUGUUUCCUUCUCGCUAGGAAA